CCCCCCACCGGCAACCUGGCGGUUCUAAACUGAGGAGUUUGGGGUUCUCCCUCCAGAAGGGGGCCUGGGAAGAAUUUUAAGCAGGAAAGUCGUUUUCAGGUUUGCAUUUUAGAACGAUCACUCCGGCUCCUGCGAGGAGCGGAGACUGUAGGGGGCUGAAAUUGGAGCCGAGGACAGAAGUUCCGAGGCUAUUGCAGUGGUCCAGGCGAGACGCGGCCUGACCUAGAGCCGCGGCAGCAGGUGCCUGCAGGACACAGCCGAGCAGAGGCGUUGGCUGGAGCCACAGACCGUGGAGCCGUGGGAAUGUAGCGGAAGCUGACACCAUGAGGGAUGGAUAAGAUUGUCAGCAAACCUGCCUUACCUCUGGAGAACUUCAGACAGAUGUCAAGGCCGAAAUCCAGCCAAAGCCCUUUCUCUCUCUAGCUGUACUUGUUUGCAGCAUAUGGUCUGGUAUACCCUACAGGAUUUACUAGCUCUUUUUGCUACUGCAUUCUACCCUCUGCAAUCAGGACGUUCAGCCCUGCGCUUGGAUGGUUGGACAGACCUACGGUUAAAGCGAUCAGCUAAAACUGUGCUCAUUCAUUCCAGUAUUGUGUGACUCCUAGGUUUGGCUCUCAUAAUUUCUCCUUUGGAUUACUGUAAUAGCCUCUCACAUUUUUUGCUUGAUUGCUUAAAAAUUAUGGUUGGUGGAAUUAGGGAUAAUUUGCCAACUUUUAAUAUUUUCUCACUGAUGUAAUUAAAACCGCCCAAAGUAUUUUUUCCAGUGGUGUAGCGCUGACCUACCCCUUUGCUACUCAAACCACAUGGUUCAGAUGAGGCAAACCCCUCCUCAGACAUGACCUAAAUCUGCACAAAGGGAUUGGUUUAAGGUUGGUCACAUGUCCUGAGCCAGAUCAGUGACAGUUGGCUUAGGGACCUUCUGGAACUAAGGAACAGAAAUGAUCAUUUGCAAAUGGAUUGCUAUGCUGGUAGAAUGCCUAUAGCUAGUGGCCAUCUUCACAAUCAUGUGGGCAGCGCUGCUUUAGAAACGAAGCAGGCACAGAAAGCAAGGCUGAGAGGAGAUGGAUGUUUGAUGUUGGUUGUGCAACUGGAAACAAGGAGUGCUAGAAAUGAGCACUGAAAUCAUCUUAGUUGGGUUUGCCGCUUGUAACGAAGAGACUCGUUAAACUUAUUGAUUUGUAUUUGCAGAAUUCCUCUUUCCGUUUUUGAAAAUCAGUACUUUUGCUUGUCUCCUACUUUCCUCUUCCCUGUAAUUUAACAAUUGCUCAUAUUAUCUGCUAUUUUGGACUGCCACUCUGCCCCAGUAUCAUCCCCUUACCCUGUUGCCACACUGCUGUCAGAGCCAUCUGAAAUGAAAACCUGUCCCUUAUUUGCUUAUUUAAAUUCCUUCAGACUCCCCAUCACCUACAGGCAAAAACCCACUUCUUUCAUAUGAUUUAACCUCUACCUACCUGUCCAACUGAAGUCCAGCCAUCACUGCUUCUGCCUCCCUGUACAAAAUAUGCUGCAAGUUUGGUUGUGCAGUUUCCCAUCUUUUAAGCCAGUUCAAGCCUCAUCUUCCCUGGGGGGCCACCUCGGACUGCCCCACGGUAAACUAAGGGCCCACAAUUUGUGCCUAACUUUUAUUGCACAUAUAGCCCUUUAGAACUCUCAGUCUACGUGUCUGUUUUUACCACUGGUCCACAAGCUCCAUAACAGGCUCUUGCUUUAGUCACCUACAUCAAUGGCCCAGCGUGGCAGGGGACAAAAAGUGCCUGCACUGUAAUUAUGGAACAGAACUGACAGUGGUUUAGCAGUUCCACAGCGUGAAUCCGGAGCUUUUUAGAAAAGGAUUUGAACAAUCUCACGAACCUUGGGCUUCCAAAUGAGUUUCAACUUAGCAGGUCGAGAAUAAGUUAUGAUUGAAGCAAAUAAAAGAUCAGUCUUACUUUGUUGAGGGAAAGUGUAAUGUCUUUAGUCUCAAUCCCUUCUGCAUUUUACUUCUUUGCUCUCAAUUUGAGAUUCUCUUCUCUUCAUCGGCCGGUGACACUCCCAGCUUUCAUAUUGUAAGACUCACAUCUGAGCUACUGCAGGAAGCUCCUUAGGUAGGAUCUCUGUGGAUGCAGCUCCUUUUUUUAUUACCUCAUUGGGGUGAUUUUUAAUUGCAUUCAUUUUAUUUUCUAGAGCUUCCUAGCACUCUUGAACAGAGAAUUUUUACAAAUACAACCCAGAGAAAGAGACCUACCUUGCUAUGAACUAGAUAGUUGAAGUCUGAGCUUCUCUGACACUGUCUGGAAAACACUGAAAAAUUCCUAACAUACUUGUAAAUUGCCACCCCCUCCCCAAGUGGCUGUAAGGAUUAAAUGGGAUAACCUGCUAAAGGGCUCUCCUAAAACAGGCAGGUUCCCCUAAGGAAGUGAUAUUCAAAGUGCUGGUCAGCCACAAAACAAGGAACUUGGCCAGAAUCUGAAUCAAUAAUCUACUUCCUUCACUUAGCAAAUCUGCUACCAAAAAAAAAAAAAAAAAAAAGUCAGCUGAGCUAAACAGUGUAUUUGGAUACAGUCUGGUGAAAAGCCCUUAUCUUUUCACAGGACAGGAACAAAAAGCUCACAGAGCAGCAGCCAGUCCAAGCUUUUGGACCAUCCAUCUUAGAAACAAUUUUGCUAAGAGUUCUGAACCCCCAAGUAAAACCCAGAAACUUCCCCCAGCUUCUCUUUCAGCUUCGAUAGCGGUAUGUGACCUAUGAUCUGCCAAUCAGAGGCACCCAUAUGAGUUUUGAUUAGGAACACACAUAAAAGGAAGAAGUGCUAGGUAAACUCCUUUAUUUUGGUCAGGAUAGAUGCAUCCAGCUUUUGGGAGAAGCUGAGGUAGACUGACAUCUAGCAGCAACGAAUAGUGCAGGCUGUGGUGUCCAUACAUAGCCGCCAACAGUGGGGUAUUUGCUAGAGAAGGCCCAAGGCAUGGUUUGGACAUUAAACACCCUUACAAAUGAAACAGUAUUCUGAUUGAUUUUAAGCCUACCAAAAUAUAACUGUCAAAAAACCCAAAACUGAUUGCUAGCUUACUUGUAUCCUAUACAAAAUAUGAAUGUUAACCCACAUUACUUAGCAAUAUUUAAGUUUUUAAUUUUAAUUCUACUCAAGGUCAAAACAAUUCUAGCACAGCUAUUUUGAAUAGACCUAAAAUUAGGCAUCUGUAAUUUGGACCUCUAAAAAUAACUCUAAUAUUUCCCCUGCAAUAAUGAAAAACGGUUGGUUGAGGUGGGGGGUGUCUUACGCAUAUACUGAGUACUCAGUUUCAAGGACAGAAAAUUAAUGAAUCCAGUCUCUCCUCUUCCCUUUUCUCAAUCUCACAACUAGAAAUGUGCAAAAGAGGUGGAGAGGGUGGUUAGUUUGGUCAGAGGGAAACUCCUUAUUUUUUGUCUGGGAUGCAUUUUAGCCACUGUAAUGGGAGGCAUAGUUUUUUUUCUUGGGGCUGGGGUCCUGGUAUUAUAAGAUAUUUAGGAACUCCCCUUUCUUCUAAGAGUUAAAACAUUUUCACUACUAAAUGAUAAGCAAGGAUAACCUUCCACAGAACCUGCAAAAAUUUCAAAUUUCACAUUUAAAUAGAAGUUAUGUUGAAACAUAAUUUGUAAUCAGUCAUUACCUUCUUUCAAUAUAUUUUAUUCUGAUGAAGUUACAAAAGUAGAUACAAAAUACUUUUAUUAAAGUACAGUUAAGUGACUUAGAAAAAUAGAUAAAGCCCCUAAAGGUUUAAAAAUACAACAUAAAUUUUCAUGUAAAGAACAUUUAAAAAUAUUUUAGAUGAUAACCAAGACUAACUGAUGCAAACUAUUUUCAAUGUAGACCAAACAUAGAAUGUUGUUCUAUAAUAACUCUACAGCACACUGGAAAUCCAUCUGGAUUUACAGAAUACUUGUUUGGAAUAGAAUCUGAUAAUGAGAGAAAACCCAAGUGAAUUUCAAUGCAGUUGCUUCAAUAAAAUUACUGUGAUCACAAGUAUCAUCCCCCAAAGCAUUUUACAGUCUGAAACAUCAAAAUCUAAUGCAAAAAACACAGGAAAACUGAGGGAUUACUAUUUUCCCUCUUUGCCAGAAUUCUACAAUAGUAGAAACCAAAUCCAUUUACUGAACUGAUAUCAGGAGGAAAUAAUGUCCCUGUCGAAGG